UAACAUUCUGUAACAGUCAAAAAUGUGUUGUAGACGUUGUUAAGAGUUUUAGCCAGCCAGUAGUGAGUAAAUUGCCAGGGGAAGGAUACCAUAUUCAAACUAGUGUGCAAGUGUAGGAGAGAGUGUGACGUUUAAGAAAUGUGUAGAAAAAUGUACGUGUAUUUUAUGUUAGUGUUACAAUUAAUGUUAGCAGAAAUGUAAUGUGUUAAUAUGUCCGUGACUGUAUCGGAGGAAUCAGGGUAAAGUGAGUGUGUGUUUUGAGUUAUAUUAUUUUGUUACGUGUUAUUUUGAGUUAAGUCGAUUGUGAUUAUGUGGAAUAUGUUAAAUUAUUUUGAUGUCAUGUGUACUUAUUUUAAGGUAGAAUGCUUUAUGUAUUGUAUAUUGUCAGUUUGGUUAUGUCAAUUGUUGUUUAUUUGUGAAAUGUUUAGCAUUUGUGUAACAUGCACUUUAAGCAGGAAGAUUGAGCAAGAAAUAAUGUGACUGAGACGGUAUGUGAUUGUAGUCAGAAAUAAACGAGCUCUGGCUUGAGCAAGACGCUAACUUUGGUCAUCUUUCUAUUAAUCCACAGUGGCUAAACAGUGCUCCCUCGCCUGUGUAACCUGUGCUGCCUGUCCAGAUUACCCCUAGGUCUGGCGCCGAAAAAGAACUCAAGCACAUGGAAUGGAUCUCUUCUGCUUAUCUUCGCUCUAAUAUAACAUUGGAAAAUUGAACUGAACAUGUGGUUGAGUUUAUUUAAAUUGAAUGUUUAAUUCCCCUGCCUUACAAAUUAAGUAUAAAUCUGUUUGUGUUGUGAAAAACUAACCAGGGGUAAUGUGUAUAAAUGAAUUUGUGGGGUUUGAUACUGACCUUUCUUACUGGGGUUAAAAGAUAUAUUAAUUGAGAGACUACUUACUAUGAAUCCUGCCUCUCCUUUUUGUCCAGUGUCACCCCUUUCACCCUGCAAAGAAAAAAAUGACACAUUUUGGAAAGGGGUUUUCAGGAAAAAAAUUCAGAGGGACUAAUGAAAUAAACAAUUCAUAAAAGCA